GGGCCGUUAACUCAGUCGGUAGAGUACCUGCCUUUUAAGCAGGGAGCCGCGAGUUCAAGUCUCGCACGGCCCACCA
rnacentral:tRNA from 1 species